UUUAUUAUCAGCUAGCUGAGGACAGAAC
rnacentral:piRNA from 1 species